rnacentral:rRNA from 1 species
AACGAACGCUGGCGGCAUGCCUAACACAUGCAAGUCGAACGAGACCUUCGGGUCUAUUGGCGCACGGGUGCGUAACGCGUGGGAACCUGCCCUUAGGUUCGGAAUAACUCCCCGAAAGGGGUGCUAAUACCGGAUAAUGUCUUCGGACCAAAGAUUUAUCGCCUUUGGAUGGGCCCGCGUUGGAUUAGCUAGUUGGUAGGGUAAAAGCCUACCAAGGCGACGAUCCAUAGCUGGUCUGAGAGGAUGAUCAGCCACACUGGGACUGAGACACGGCCCAGACUCAUACGGGAGGCAGCAGUGGGGAAUAUUGGACAAUGGGCGAAAGCCUGAUCCAGCAAUGCCGCGUGAGUGAUGAAGGCCUUAGGGUUGUAAAGCUCUUUUACCCGGGAUGAUAAUGACAGUACCGUGAGAAUAAGCUCCGGCUAACUCCGUG